CCUACGGGGGGCAGCAGUAGGGAAUAUUGCUCAAUGGGGGAAACCCUGAAGCCGCAACGCCGCGUGGAGGAUGAAGGUUUUCGGAUUGUAAACUCCUUUUGUUAGAGGAGAUAAUGACGGUAUCUAACGAAUAAGCACCGGCUAACUCCGUGCCAGCAGCCGCGGUAAUACGGAGGGUGCAAGCGUUACUCGGAAUCACUGGGCGUAAAGAGCGCGUAGGCGGGAUAGCAAGUCAGAUGUGAAAUCCUAGGGCUUAACCAUAGAACUGCAUUUGAAACUGUUAUUCUAGAGUAUGGGAGAGGUAGGUGGAAUUCUUGGUGUAGGGGUAAAAUCCGUAGAGAUCAAGAGGAAUACUCAUUGCGAAGGCGACCUGCUAGAACAUAACUGACGCUGAUGCGCGAAAGCGUGGGGAGCAAACAGGAUUAGAUACCCGAGUAGUC
rnacentral:rRNA from 1 species